UUCUAAAUGUAAACCGGUACAGCCCUACCAGAGCACUAUGAAUCUUUACAUUUAAAACUCAAAGGACUUGGCGGUGCUUUAGACUUCUCAGGGGAACCUGUUUCGUAAUCGACAGUCCACGUAAAACCUUUCCUUCUUUUGUUCUCAGUAUGUAUACCGUCGUCGUCAGGUAACUUUUAAAAAUAUUAGAAGUUAGCAACAAAGUUAACCUAAACUUUUACGUCAGAUCAAGGUGCAGCCCAUAAGAAGGUGAGAAUGGGUUACAAUUAAAAGUUAUAAUUACGAAGAGAGAAUGAAAUUUUAACCCGAAGGAGGACUUGAAAGUAAGAAAACUUAUAUAAAUUUUCUGAAUUCAGCUCUGAAGCGUGC
rnacentral:rRNA from 1 species